GUCUGGAAGGAAGUGGCUGGGAAGGGCAUGGUGGAGGCUGCUGACCCGCCAAUGUCUCCACAACUGAACGUCCCCCUGCCAGGCCGCAGAGUGCCCACUGCCUCUCCAGUGCCAGCCCAGCAAGAGGGAAAGCAGAGAGGGGGAAAAAAUAACGGGUGCCUCAUGGUGGGUUUUCACAAUCUUGAGGCUGCAGUCGCCCCUUAGGCCCCACACCCUGCACCCAGCAGGGUCUCAACCAGUGACUCCCCAGUCAGCAACCGGCCAGCAUGCAUUGCGCAGACGUGGCCUCUGCUCCACUCAGGGCCCAUUUCAGCCACCUCGAAGCUGAAGCUGCAGUUCACCGCCACCUCCAAGGACACAGCCCACCUUUUCCAGGCUGCGCCGGGCCCUCCGCAGACCAGACCUCCUUCAGAGGCGCGGGCCCACGUGCAUGGAAAACGCCUCCUACUGACACGGAACACCGAGAUUACACUCCGGGCCCGCCUGGACACCCGGGAUUAUCUCUGCGUUUUACACGCUUCAAGGAACCACGUUUGCAGGCGCUCACCAUGUGAGGCGACAGGCACAGGCCUGGACAGGACGGAGGGCAUCUUCGGGAGGCUUUCCUCCCCUCUCACUCCACUUUUCCCUCAGGACACCUGUGCUGCUGUUGCUGUAAAUCCUAAUUCCCCAGAAAUAUAUGAAACCCUGUAACAUGAUUGUUUUAUGCGGUUACGAUUCAUUAGGUUUGUACACAAUAUACCCUUUCUGUUGCUUUUGUUGGGGCUCAGAAAAUCACACCCGGAGUGAAGGCCUUGGAAGCCAGGCCUUCUCCUGCCCCCUGUCUCUGGCCCCUUAUUCUCAGAGGCAGGUCGUAGAAACCUGAACCCCUUUUCCCCAAAGCCAGCCAUAAACCUAAAAGUAUGACUCUAAUAACUUUCCUGUCUUUCUGUGUAAAAACUGGCCAUAAAGGAAUUCUCUGGU